UGGGGAAUUUUGGAUCAAUGGGGGCGAACCCGUACGAUCCAGCCAUCCCGCGUGUGCGAUGAAGGCCUUCGGGUUGUAAAGCACUUUUGGCAGGAAAGAAACGGCCCUGGUUAAUACCUGGGCAACUGACGGUACCUGCAGAAUAAGCACCGGCUAACUACGUGCCAGCAGCCGCGGUAAUACGUAGGGUGCAAGCGUUAAUCGGAAUUACUGGGCGUAAAGCGUGCGCAGGCGGUUCGGAAAGAAAGAUGUGAAAUCCCAGGGCUUAACCUUGGAACUGCAUUUUUAACUACCGGGCUAGAGUGUGUCAGAGGGAGGUGGAAUUCCGCGUGUAGCAGUGAAAUGCGUAGAGAUGCGGAGGAACACCGUGGCGAAGG
rnacentral:rRNA from 1 species